GGAAGCAGUCCUCUCAUGCCCAGGCUCUGUCUCACCUGCUGAGGCAGAGCCCAAGGCCAGGAUAAAAGGGCCUCUAGACCAGUGCACCUCCAUCCACUCCCUCCUGACGGAUCCUGUGCUGCUUGUGUAUCCGCUCCUGAACGCCCACUUGCCUACCCGAGAUGUCCUGCCAGCAGAGCCAGCAGUGCACUCCCAAGUGCCCUCCCAAGUGCCCUCCCAAGUGCUGCACCCCAAAAUGCCCUCCUAAGUGUCCCCCCAAGUGCCCUCCAGUCUCUUCCUGCUGCAGUGUCAGCUCUGGGGGCUGCUGUGGCUCUGGGGGUGGGGGCUGCUGUAGCUCUGGGGGUGGGGGCUGCUGCCUGAGCCACCACAGGCCCCGCAGGUCUCUCCGCCUCAGACACAGAAGGUCUGACUGCUGCAGCUCAGGGGGCUCCAGCUGCUGCGGAGGGGGCUCCGGAGGGGGCUCCAGCUGCUGCGGAGGGGGCUCCGGAGGGGGCUCCAGCUGCUGCGGAGGGGGCUCCGGAGGGGGCUCCAGCUGCUGCGGAGGGAGCAGUAGUCAGUCCUCCGGAGGCUGCUGCUGACCUAGAUCCUGACAUCAAUUUCCCCCUGAGUUCCUAUAAGGGCAGAGGGGUCCUGGCAAAAUUUGAACUCUGUUCUAGAAGUUCCUUCUACCCUGGUAUCCAGAAGUCCAAAACCUCUCUCUGAAACUUGGUUUCUGACCUCCUUCCCCAUAUCUGUGGCUGCCCUGGGAUUCCCAGAGCACAGAUCCUAUGUCCCUUUGAAGCUCAUGUUGUUGUAUUCUGAUGCUUGAAUUGAAAAAUAAAUACAGAAUGUGCUCACUAA